rnacentral:rRNA from 1 species
CCUACGGGUGGCUGCAGUGGGGAAUUUUGGACAAUGGGGGCAACCCUGAUCCAGCCAUUCCGCGUGAGUGAAGAAGGCCUUCGGGUUGUAAAGCUCUUUUGUCCGGAGCGAAACGGGCGGCCCUAAUACGGUCGUCUACUGACGGUACCGGAAGAAUAAGCACCGGCUAACUACGUGCCAGCAGCCGCGGUAAUACGUAGGGUGCGAGCGUUGAUCGGAAUUACUGGGGGUGGUGUUUGCACAGAGGGUUGAAAUCCCCGGGCUCAACCUGGGAAUGGCAUUUGGGACUGCAAGGCUGGAGUGUGGCAGAGGGGACUAGAAUUCCUGGUGUAGCAGUGAAAUGCGUAGAUAUCAGGAGGAAUACCGAUGGCGAAGGCAGGUCCCUGGGUUAACACUGACGCUCAUGCACGAAAGCGUGGGGAGCAAACAGGAUUAGAUACCCGUGUAGUC